GGGCCCGCACAAGCAGCGGAGCGUGUGGUUUAAUUCGAGGCUACACGAAGAACCUUACCUGGGCUUGACAUGACACUAGUAGGGAAGUGAAAGCGGACCGACCCGCAAGGGAGGUGUCACAGGUGCUGCAUGGCUGUCGUCAGCUCGUGCCGUGAGGUGUUAGGUUAAGUCCUGUAACGAGCGCAACCCUCGGAGCCAGUUACACGUUGUCUGGCUCGACUGCCCGUGACAAGCGGGAGGAAGGUGGGGAUGACGUCAAGUCAGCAUGGCCUUUAUGUCCAGGGCUACACACACGCUACAAUGGCCGGUACAAUGGGCAGCCAAGCCGCAAGGCGGAGCUAAUCCUAUCAAAGCCGGUCACAGUUCGGAUUGUGGGCUGCAACCCGCCCACAUGAAGUUGGAGUUGCUAGUAACCGCGCGUCAGCCAUAGUGCGGUGAAUACGUUCCCGGGCCUU
rnacentral:rRNA from 1 species